rnacentral:rRNA from 2 species
UAUUUUGAACCGCAUGGUUCAAAAGUGAAAGACGGUCUUGCUGUCACUUAUAGAUGGAUCCGCGCUGCAUUAGCUAGUUGGUAAGGUAACGGCUUACCAAGGCAACGAUGCAUAGCCGACCUGAGAGGGUGAUCGGCCACACUGGAACUGAGACACGGUCCAGACUCCUACGGGAGGCAGCAGUAGGGAAUCUUCCGCAAUGGGCGAAAGCCUGACGGAGCAACGCCGCGUGAGUGAUGAAGGUCUUCGGAUCGUAAAACUCUGUUAUUAGGGAAGAACAUAUGUGUAAGUAACUGUGCACAUCUUGACGGUACCUAAUCAGAAAGCCACGGCUAACUACGUGCCAGCAGCCGCGGUAAUACGUAGGUGGCAAGCGUUAUCCGGAAUUAUUGGGCGUAAAGCGCGCGUAGGCGGUUUUUUAAGUCUGAUGUGAAAGCCCACGGCUCAACCGUGGAGGGUCAUUGGAAACUGGAAAACUUGAGUGCAGAAGAGGAAAGUGGAAUUCCAUGUGUAGCGGUGAAAUGCGCAGAGAUAUGGAGGAACACCAGUGGCGAAGGCGACUUUCUGGUCUGUAACUGACGCUGAUGUGCGAAAGCGUGGGGAUCAAACAGGAUUAGAUACCCUGGUAGUCCACGCCGUAAACGAUGAGUGCUAAGUGUUAGGGGGUUUCCGCCCCUUAGUGCUGCAGCUAACGCAUUAAGCACUCCGCCUGGGGAGUACGACCGCAAGGUUGAAACUCAAAGGAAUUGACGGGGACCCGCACAAGCGGUGGAGCAUGUGGUUUAAUUCGAAGCAACGCGAAGAACCUUACCAAAUCUUGACAUCCUUUGACAACUCUAGAGAUAGAGCCUUCCCCUUCGGGGGACAAAGUGACAGGUGGUGCAUGGUUGUCGUCAGCUCGUGUCGUGAGAUGUUGGGUUAAGUCCCGCAACGAGCGCAACCCUUAAGCUUAGUUGCCAUCAUUAAGUUGGGCACUCUAAGUUGACUGCCGGUGACAAACCGGAGGAAGGUGGGGAUGACGUCAAAUCAUCAUGCCCCUUAUGAUUUGGGCUACACACGUGCUACAAUGGACAAUACAAAGGGCAGCGAAACCGCGAGGUCAAGCAAAUCCCAUAAAGUUGUUCUCAGUUCGGAUUGUAGUCUGCAACUCGACUACAUGAAGCUGGAAUCGCUAGUAAUCGUAGAUCAGCAUGCUACGGUGAAUACGUUCCCGGGUCUUGUACACACCGCCCGUCACACCACGAGAGUUUGUAACACCCGAAGCCGGUGGAGUAACCUUUUAGGAGCUAGCCGUCGAAGGUGGGACAAAUGAUUGGGGUGAAGUCGUAACAAGGUAGCCGUAUCGGAAGGUGCGGCUGGAUCACCUCCUUUCU